UUUGUAUACCAAACAAAAUUGUCCAUUCUGUUUUAGGCUUAAUCACCAUGGAAUUCGGACAAGUUAUGGCUCGUGGGAAUAAAAAAAAAAGUCUCUUGUUUCGUUACUUGUUCUUUCUCUCCGUUUCUCUUAGUUCCUCGUCGGAUUUCCCUCUCUUCGUUCUCCGUUUCUAUUCGUUCCUGUCCGUUUCUCUUCGUUCUUUGCUAUCCUCUCCGUUUCGUGGCGUUCUUCUCUCAAGCUAGGGCAUGCAAUUUUUUUCGUUCAUUUUCUGUUUCCGGCUAUCCCCUCCGUUUCUGGCUAUUCUCUCAAGAGCAAGGUUUCAACCAAAUGGAUAUGAUCAAAGAAGACGAAUCCACUACUAGACCACUGAUGGAACAUUAUACUUAUUGGAAGGCUUGUAUGACAGCUUUUCUUAAAUCAAUUGACAGUAAAACAUGAAAAAUUGUUAUCUUCGGUUAGGAACCACCUACAAUUAUCGUAGAAGGUAAAUCUACAGCAAAAUCAGAAUUUGAUUAGAUUGAUGCUAAAGAUCAAGCUUCUCUUGGCAACUCUUGUGCUCUCAAUGCUAUUUAUAAUAGAGUUAAUCAAAAUGUAUUCAAACUAAUAAGUACUUGUACAUCAGCAAAAGAAGCCUAGAAAAUUCUUGAAGUUACAUCUGAAGGAACGUCAAAAGUAAAAACUUCACGAUUACAAUUGCUGAGUUCAAA